rnacentral:lncRNA from 1 species
CAGAACUUCCUGAAACAGAAUCUGUAGACAGUCUCCAGCUGUGUGAAGGACAGUAGCAGGGCCUGUCCAGAGCCCCCAGGAAUGACGACCCACACGCCGUGCUGGAGCGGGACCAGCUCCCUGUCCAGGCCAGCCCGGGACUUCAGGAAAAAUAAUCCAACAAACUAAGAUCUGGGAAGAUGAUGCCAUUUUGAAAUGGACAUUGUCAAAAUACCCCUAGAUCUCAAACAAGCAGUGUGAACCAAGAUUUGGCUAUAGGGAAUGCUGCAGAAAAACAUCUGGAAAAAAAAAAAAGAAAAACGUGGCUUGUGCCAGUUCUCCGAGGAGCAAGGUCCUCGGUAUCAAGGAGGACCACUCGGAUUUCAUUCACAGGUCACCUCAUCCACGUGCCUGCAGGAGCUCCUGAAAGACCCACAGCCUCCCGGAGUUUAGAACCACCUCCUUCAGUGCCGGUCUCCUCGGGUUCCAGCCUCAGAACCAGGCACCGCUCCUCCAUUGUCACUGCGGUCAACCAUUUUCAAAGGGGUCUGUCCCCUCUCUUGGUGUGCGCCAUCUCACACAAGAUUAGGCCAGAGGACAGGAGGCUCGGGGUGUUACUUCUGCUCCUUCUAAUCACGGGCCUCCCGGAGCCCAGCACAGAGCAGACGGCUCGUAAAUACUUGUUGGAGUAGGAACACACGCACUUGCAGGUUUUCUGCGUUUCUCUGAUCCAUCCUCCAGGGUGAGGCUCCCCACCUCUGACGCCACAGGACCCUGGACAUGGGAUGUUUUGUCUCUGCUCUGACCUCGGCAAU